rnacentral:rRNA from 1 species
UGUUUCGGCUAGGGGGCCAUCCCGGCUUACCAACCCGAUGCAAACUGCGAAUACCGGAGAAUGUUAUCACGGGAGACACACGGCGGGUGCUAACGUCCGUCGUGAAGAGGGAAACAACCCAGACCGCCAGCUAAGGUCCCAAAGUCAUGGUUAAGUGGGAAACGAUGUGGGAAGGCCCAGACAGCCAGGAUGUUGGCUUAGAAGCAGCCAUCAUUUAAAGAAAGCGUAAUAGCUCACUGGUCGAGUCGGCCUGCGCGGAAGAUGUAACGGGGCUAAACCAUGCACCGAAGCUGCGGCAGCGACACUGUGUGUUGUUGGGUAGGGGAGCGUUCUGUAAGCCUGCGAAGGUGUCCCGUGAGGGAUG